UACGGGGGAGCAAGCGUUGUUCGGAUUACUGGGCGUAAAGGCGCGUAGGCGGCCAGCGCAAGUCAGUUGUGAAAUCUCCGGGCUUAACUCGGAACGGUCAACUGAUACUGCGCGGCUAGAGUGCAGAAGGGGCAACUGGAAUUCUCGGUGUAGCGGUGAAAUGCGUAGAUAUCGAGAGGAACACCUGCGGCGAAGGCGGGUUGCUGGGCUGACACUGACGCUGAUGCGCGAAAGCGUGGGGAGCGAACAGG
rnacentral:rRNA from 1 species